GGAGGGUAGGGUAUAGCUCAGUGGUAGAGUGCAUGCCUAUCAUACAUGAGGUCCUGGGUUCAAUCCCCAGUACCUCCA